rnacentral:sRNA from 1 species
GCCGGGCACAGUGGUGCAUGCCUGUAAUCCCAGCAGCUUGGACGCUGAGACAGGAGGAUCGCCAGUUCAAAGCCAGCCUUAGUAACAGCAAGGUGCUAAGCAACUCAGUGAGACCACGUCUCUA